CUCUCUUUCUCUCACUCUUCCUAAUUGCAUCUACCUAUUUGCAAGGUAGAACAGGAAAAGAAAUAUGGUUCGAAAGAAAGAUCGAUUUUGGGAGCAUGUUGAAAAACAAAAUAAUGGUUGUUUCAAAUGUAAGUAUUGUGAAAGUAUUUUUGCUGGGGGUGCUACAAGGAUUAAAUAUCACUUGGCUGGAGCAAAGGGUCACGAUAUUAAUAUUUGUACAAAAGUGCCUAAAGAGGUCCAAGAGGAAGCUUCUCUAACAAUUGGUGAACCUAACAAAAAAGUUAAGGGUGCAUCAACUUCAAACAAGGAUAACAAGAGGAAAAUCAGCUCAACUUUAAUAUCAAAGGAUGACAUGUUAAGCGGAGUGUUUGAAAAGGUGAGUAAAGAUGUAAAUAUUUUAUAUUUAGAUUAUAUUUCAUCAUAAUCUUAGCAGUGAACUUGUGAUAACAUUUUCAGUUAUUGAUUUUAAUUGUUUGAAUCAAGUAAAACAUUAUUAUUAAUUUCUAUGUUA